rnacentral:lncRNA from 1 species
CCGUGGAUUGCGGAACAUCGUCCACAUCUAAAACGUUCACGUAAAUUAAUGACGUCAUGUGUUAAAACAGUUAUUGGCCAAUCAAAUCGGUAUAUAGAAUUUAAUCUGCACGCGCUCAGGAUGACCCUUUAACCCGAACUCCUACGUCGUUCGGGUUAAUAAGGGUCACCUGAGCUGUGCAGAUUAAAUUCUAUAUACCGACUUGCUUGGUCAAUAACU